rnacentral:rRNA from 1 species
UACGAAGGGUGCAAGCGUUACUCGGAAUUACUGGGCGUAAAGCGUGCGUAGGUGGUUUGUUAAGUCUGUUGUGAAAGCCCCGGGCUCAACCUGGGAAUGGCAAUGGAUACUGGCAAGCUAGAGUGCGGUAGAGGGUAGUGGAAUUCCCGGUGUAGCGGUGAAAUGCGUAGAUAUCGGGAGGAACAUCCGUGGCGAAGGCGGCCACCUGGACCAGCACUGACACUGAGGCACGAAAGCGUGGGGAGCAAACAGG